rnacentral:lncRNA from 1 species
AAUUAUCCCCAAAAUAUCCCAAACCAGCCAAAAUCACCCCAAAAUAUCCCAAAUCAGCCAAAAUCAGCCCAAAAUAUCCCAAAUCAGCCAAAAUCACCCCAAAAUAUCCCAAAUCAGCCAAAAUCAGCCCCAAAUCGGCCCAAAAUAUCCCAAAUCAGCCAAAAUCAGCCCAAAAUCAGCCCAAAAUAUCCCAAAUCAGCCAAAAUCACCCCAAAAUAUCCCAAAUCAGCCAAAAUCAGCCCAAAAUCACCCCAAAAUAUCCCAAAUCAGCCAAAAUAUCCCCAAAAUAUCCCCAAAAUAUCCCCAAAAUAUCCCCAAAUCACCCCAAAUUCAGCACAAAAUUAUCCACAAAAUAUCCCCAAAUCAGCCAAAAUCACCCCAAAAUAUCCCCAAAUCAGCCCAAAAUCAGCCCAAAACCAGCCCAAAAUCAGCCCCAAAAUAUCCCCAAAUCAGCCAAAAUCAUCCCCCAAAUAUCCUCAAAAUAUCCCCAAAUCAGCCCAAAAUCAUCCCCAAAAUAUCCCCAAAUCAUCACAAAAUUAUCCCCAAAAUAUCCCCAAAUCAGCCCAAAAUCAGCCCAAAAUUAUCCCAAAAUCAGCCCCAAAAUCAGCCCAAAAUUAUCCCCAAAUCAGCACAAAAUCAGCCCAAAAUUAUACCCAAAUCAGCCCAAAAUCAGCCCAAAAUUAUACCCAAAUCAGCACAAAAUCAGCCCAAAAUUAUACCCAAAUCAGCCCAAAAUUAUCCCAAAAUCAUCCCCAAAUUUUCCCAAAAUCAGCCCCAAAUCAUCCCAAAAUUACUCCAAAAUCAUCCCAAAAUCAUCCCCAAAAUUAUCCCCAAAUCACCCCAAAAUUAUACCGAAAUUACCUCAAAUUAUCCCCAAAAUCCUCCGAAAUCCCCAAAUUUCCCCCAAAUCUCCCCGAAUUUUCCCCAAAUCCCCCAAAUUUCCCCCAAAUCCCCCAAAUUUUCCCAAAAUCCCCGGAAUUCUCCCCAAAGGCUGCUGGUGGGAGCCCCCCGGGAGGGGAACGGCUCCGGCGCCGUUUACGGCUGCGCCUUCGGCUCCGGAACCUGCCGGAAGCUCCCGG